AGUAACUGUUCAUCCCUUGACGGUUUCUAACCAGAAAGCCACGGCUAACUACGUGCCAGCAGCCGCGGGAAUACGUAGGUGGCAAGCGUUGUCCGGAUUUAUUGGGCGUAUAGCGAGCGCAGGCGGUUUCUUAAGUCUGAUGUGAAAGCCCCCGGCUCAACCGGGGAGGGUCUUUGGAAACUGGGAGACUUGAGUGCAGAAGAGGAGAGUGGAAUUCCAUGUGUAGCGGUGAAGUGCGUAGCUAGAUGGAGGAACCCCAGUGGCGAAGGCGGCUC
rnacentral:rRNA from 1 species